CCUACGGGGGGCUGCAGUGGGGACUAUUGCACAAUGGGGGCAACCCUGAUGCAGCCACGCCGCGUGAAUGAAGAAGUAUUUCGGUAUGUAAAGCUCUAUCAGCAGGGAAGUAAAUGACGGUACCUGAUUCAGAAGCCCCGGCUAACUCCGUUACAGCAGCCGCGGUAAUACGUAGGGGGCAAGCGUUAUCCGGAUUUACUGGGUGUAAAGGGAGCGUAGACGGAAGCACAAGUCUGGAGUGAAAUGCCGGGGCUUAACCCCGGAACUGCUUUGGAUACUGUGCAGCUAGAGUGCAGGUGCGGUAAGUGGAAUGCAUGGUGGAGCGGUGAAAUGCGGAGAUAUUAGGAGGAACACCAGUGGCGAAGGCGGCUUACUGGACUGUAACUGACGUUGAGGCUCGAAAGCGUGGGGAGCAAACAGGAUUAGAUACCCCGGUAGUC
rnacentral:rRNA from 1 species